CAAAAAACACUACACAUCAAACACAGUUGGACCAAACUUUACCAACAACCAAACUUUAUUUUUCUCAAUCGGGCACUUGUGAAAAGCUCGAGCUGAUUUCUCAUCCAAUGUAAGACUUUGAUAAACGGACAUUUGGAAAAUCUCAGACAUACCACCAACUCCAGCAAUCUCCUCGAGCAACUGCUCUUCUGUAUAUCCUUGUUCCAAUGC
rnacentral:lncRNA from 1 species